rnacentral:lncRNA from 1 species
AUUCUCAUUAGGAUAUUGUCCUACUUCUGAUUGGCUAGCAGUAGGUAUGGAGAGCAGUAGUGUUGAAGUCCUUUGUGUGAGUGGUCCAGAUAAGUAUCAGUUACAUUUGCACGAGUCUUGUGUACUGUCACUCAAGUUUGCUCACAGUGGUAAAUGGUUUAUAACUACAGGAAAGGAUAAUCUACUAAAUGCAUGGAGAACACCUUAUGGUGCUAGUAUAUUCCAGAUGUCUGAAAGCAGUAGUGUUUUAAGCUGUGACAUAUCAGUCGACGAUCGUUUUAUUGUUACUGGAUCUGGAGACAAGAAGGCUACAGUGUAUGAAGUUAUACUAUGAGUAGGUGAUAUUUGACUUGUAAUGAAUAAUGCAAUCUACACUUGAGUUUAGUCUCUUUGUUACAAGUACUGACUACAAAACUCUCAUGUAAUAUAAAAUCUCUAAUAAUUCCAGUUAAGAUAUUGUUUGUCAUGUUUGCUAUAA